rnacentral:rRNA from 2 species
UCUGUUGUUAGGGAAGAACAAAUUUGUUAGUAACUGAACAAGUCUUGACGGUACCUAACCAGAAAGCCACGGCUAACUACGUGCCAGCAGCCGCGGUAAUACGUAGGUGGCAAGCGUUAUCCGGAAUUAUUGGGCGUAAAGCGCGCGUAGGCGGUUUCUUAAGUCUGAUGUGAAAGCCCACGGCUCAACCGUGGAGGGUCAUUGGAAACUGGGGAACUUGAGUGCAGAAGAGGAGAGUGGAAUUCCAUGUGUAGCGGUGAAAUGCGCAGAGAUAUGGAGGAACACCAGUGGCGAAGGCGGCUCUCUGGUCUGUAACUGACGCUGAUGUGCGAAAGCGUGGGGAUCAAACAGGAUUAGAUACCCUGGUAGUCCACGCCGUAAAACGAUGAGUGCUAAGUGUUAGGGGGUUUCCGCCCCUUAGUGCUGCAGCUAACGCAUUAAGCACUCCGCCUGGGGAGUACGACCGCAAGGUUGAAACUCAAAGGAAUUGACGGGGACCCGCACAAG